rnacentral:rRNA from 1 species
CGGGUGAGUAACACGUGGGUAACCUGCCUAAAAGAAGGGGAUAACACUUGGAAACAGGUGCUAAUACCGUAUAUCUCUAAGGAUCGCAUGAUUCUUAGAUGAAAGAUGGUCCUGCUAUCGCUUUUAGAUGGACCCGCGGCGUAUUAACUAGUUGGUGGGGUAACGGCCUACCAAGGUGAUGAUACGUAGCCGAACUGAGAGGUUGAUCGGCCACAUUGGGACUGAGACACGGCCCAA